rnacentral:misc_RNA from 1 species
AAGUCGUAACAAGGUUUCCGUAGGUGAACCUGCGGAAGGAUCAUUGACACGUAUCCAAACGUUAAAACCCCCCCCGUGAACCUUCAUCCUGCUCUUGUAACCCGCGUAGUUCGCAAUCUCUGAUAAAUCAUAGCCCGGAAAGUUGUAGUGAUUCAGAGACCUCUGGCUACGUUAUUAGGGGGCAUGGGGACUCUUUGGCAAAGCUCCUGCCCGAGUGUACGGUCUACAGGAAUCGUAGAAGCGCUAUCCUUGCACAAUCAAUGACACUUUCCGACACUGACUGCUUGGAGAAACAUUGCCUAUAGAACUACCGCUCGAUUGUAACUGUUCCAAUGUUCGCCACAGUUUAAUGUGAAGCUCAAUGUAAUACAUUGGGUAAAAAAACCGAACAACUGUUAACAAUGGAUAUCUUGGUUCUC